UUUUGGGAAGGGGUAGGUUCAAUAAAUCACAAUGCGGGACUAUACGUCUUGCAAUUGGAUUGAGAACAAUGUACAACUCUUAUCGAUAAGCCAUUGGAGGGCAAGUCUGGUGCCAGCAGCCGCGGUAAUUCCAGCUCCAAUAGCGUAUAUUAACGUUGUUGCAGUUAAAAAGCUCGUAGUUGAAGUGUGGGUGAUCGCUGUUGUGAGACUUCGGUCUCUCGACAGUAAGUCACCCCCUUCCAGUAUCCAGUAGUGGGUAUUCAGUUACUUACUAUUGUGUGUUGGUCCUUUACUGUGAGAAAAUUAGAGUGUUCAAAGCAGGCGUUUGCUUGAAUAGAUUAGCAUGGAAUAAUAAUUGAAGGCUUUCGUGUUCGAUUUGAUUGGUUUGUUCAUGGAAGCAAGGUUAAAAGGAACAGUUGGGGGUAUUCAUAUCACUAGUUAGUAGGAGCAGCUAAGUC
rnacentral:rRNA from 1 species